UACGAAGGGGGCUAGCGUUGCUCGGAAUUACUGGGCGUAAAGAGCGUGUAGGCGGCCUGAAAGGUCAGCUGUGAAAACUCGAGGCUCAACCUCGAGACGUCGGUUGAAACCAUCUGGCUAGAGUCCGGAAGAGGAGUGUGGAAUUCCCGGUGUAGCGGUGAAAUGCGCAGAUAUCGGGAAGAACACCCGUGGCGAAGGCGGCACUCUGGGACGGUACUGACGCUGAGACGCGAAAGCGUGGGGAGCGAACAGG
rnacentral:rRNA from 1 species